rnacentral:rRNA from 1 species
AGAGUUUGAUUCUGGCUCAGGAUGAACGCUAGCGACAGGCUUAACACAUGCAAGUCGAGGGGUAACAGGGUAGCAAUACCGCUGACGACCGGCGCACGGGUGAGUAACGCGUAUGCAACCUGCCUAUAACUGGGGAAUAGCUCCCUGAAAGGGGAAUUAACACCGCAUAACACUAUUGAUUCGCAUGGAUUAGUAGUUAAAUGUAGCGAUACAGGUUAUAGAUGGGCAUGCGUGACAUUAGCUAGUUGGUGAGGUAACGGCUCACCAAGGCUACGAUGUCUAGGGGUUCUGAGAGGAAGGUCCCCCACACUGGUACUGAGACACGGACCAGACUCCUACGGGAGGCAGCAGUGAGGAAUAUUGGGCAAAUGGGGGCAACCCUGACCCAGCAACGCCGCGUGAAGGAAGAAGGCUUUCGGGUUGUAAACUUCUUUGACGAGGGACGAUAGUGACGGUACCUCGAAAACAAGCCACGGCUAACUACGUGCCAGCAGCGGC